GACGAACGCUGGCGGCGUGCCUAAUACAUGCAAGUAGGACGCAGUUGCGAACGGGUGAGUAACGCGUCGGUCACUACCUAUUAGAGGGGGAUAACUAUUGGAAACGAUAGCUAAUACAGCAUACUAGUAGAUGGAGCUGCGUUGUAUUAGCUAGUUGGAGGGGUAACGGCCCACCAAGGCGAUGAUCAGUAGCCGGGCUGGGGGGAGGAACGGCCACAUUGGGACUGAGACACGGCCCAGACUCCUACGGGAGGCAGCAGUAGGGAAUCUUCGGCAAUGGGGGGAACCCUGACCGAGCAACGCCGCGGGAGUGAAGAAGGUUUUCGGAUCGUAAAGCUCUGUUGUUAAGGAAGCGGUACUUAACCAGAAAGGGACGGCUAACUACGUGCCAGCAGCCGCGGUAAUUC
rnacentral:rRNA from 1 species